rnacentral:rRNA from 1 species
UGCGAGUGGAAUUGAUGGGAAUUUUUUUAACCCUCGCCAUUUAGAGGAAGGUGAAGUCGUAACAAGGUUUCCGUAGGUGAACCUGCGGAAGGAUCAUUA